CUCUUACAUCUGUGUUUCCUCGAGUUUAAUAGUGGAUUCUUUCUUGGGAAUGAGAACAACAUAUCCAUCACCGGAAGGAAUCCACAGUUAAACUUCAGACUGCAACAUCCGAAGAUCA
rnacentral:precursor_RNA from 12 species